AGAGUUUGAUCCUGGCUCAGGAUGAACGCUGGCGGCGUGCCUAAUACAUGCAAGUCGAACGAGGCCCUCUUCCUUCGGGUGAGGUGUCCUAGUGGCGAACGGGUGAGUAACACGUUGGUGACCUACCCCGAAGAGGGGGACAACCCCGGGAAACUGGGGCUAAUACCCCAUGUGAUCCUAAGGACUAGAUGCCUAAGGAUGAAAUGGAGCAAUUCGCUUCGGGAGGGGCCUGCGGCCUAUCAGCUAGUUGGUGAGGUAAUGGCUCACCAAGGCGACGACGGGUAGGGGACCUGAGAGGGUGACCCCCCACACUGGAACUGAAACACGGACCAGACACCUACGGGUGGCAGCAGUAGGGAAUAUUGCACAAUAGGCGAAAGCCUGAUGCAGCAACGCCGCGUGCGCGAUGAAGGCCUUAGGGUUGUAAAGCGCUUUUCUGGGGGACGAGAAAGGACGGUACCCCAGGAAUGAGUCUCGGCUAACUACGUGCCAGCGCCGCGGUAAU
rnacentral:rRNA from 1 species